UUCGUUUCAUUUAUUACUGUAAAGCUCAGAGAAAAUGAGUGUUGCUGCAAUUUGUUGCUCUCUGGCUGCUAAACACUAGGAGCUCAUGUACCUCUUCCAUCAAAUUGGAAUAGGAAAUCACUGUCUGCCAGAAAAUGUUGAGGAAAAAACCUCCUUUCAAAAAGAUGUUGGAAUUAGGAUUCGUCAAUUCUCAAUAAUAUUGUCUAUCCAAAAACCAAGUCACAAAAAUUAUGUCCAUAUUAAAACAAUUGAGCUGAGGGCUCUGUUGGAGAAGGAAAAGUAAGGCUACAUCAAUAGUUUUUUUUUUCUUUUAUGAAAUGAAAUACCUGUACUGAAGAACAUUUGAUUGAUGCUAAAACCCAUAAAUAAAGGUUCAAGGGAUACUUUUGUAGAUCCAUUGCCUCAAUGUAUAGCCCUAGAGAACAUCAUAAAGAUAGAUGGCAAUGCAAGUUACCUCAAUAUAUAGCCCUAGAGAACAUCAUAAAGGUUGAUGGCAAUGCAAGAUAGAGACUAAUUACAAAUGCAGUAUAGUUAAUUUGGCAUAAAAUCAAAAGCAAUGUGCUUUGAGUGACAUAAGGUA
rnacentral:lncRNA from 1 species